rnacentral:rRNA from 1 species
GAUGAACGCUGGCGGCGUGCCUAAUACAUGCAAGUCGAGCGGCAGCACGGUCUUCGGACUGGUGGCGAGCGGCGGACGGGUGAGUAACGCGUAAGAAUGUACCCCAAACUGAGGGAUAACUCUGGGAAACCAGAGCUAAUACCGCAUGUGCUCUUCGGAGUAAAGCUUCGGCGGUUUGGGAACAGCUUGCGUAAGAUUAGCCAGUUGGUAAGGUAAUGGCUUACCAAGGCGACGAUCUUUAGCUGGUCUGAGAGGAUGAUCAGCCACACUGGGACUGAGACACGGCCCAGAAUCCUACGGGAGGCAGCAGUAGGGAAUUUUCCACAAUGGGGGCAACCCUGAUGGAGCAACGCCGCGUGCAGGAUGAAGGCCUUCGGUUUGUAAACUGCUUUUGUCUGUGACGAAUAUGACGGUAGCAGACGAAUAAGGAUCGGCUAACUACGUGCCAGCCGCCGCCGUAA